CGAAAUGCGAUAAGUAAUGUGAAUUGCAGAAUUCAGUGAAUCAUCGAAUCUUUGAACGCACCUUGCGCUCCUUGGUAUUCCUUGGAGCAUGCCUGUUUGAGUAUCAUGAAAUCUUCAAAGUAAAUCUUUUGUUAACUCAAUUGGUUUCUACUUUGGUAUUGGAGGUCUUUGCAGCUUCACACCUGCUCCUCUUUGUUCAUUAGCUGGAUCUCAGUGUUAUGCUUGGUUCCACUCGGCGUGAUAAGUUAUCUAUCGCCGAGGACACUGUAAAAGGUGGCCAAGGUAAAUGCAGAUGAACCGCUUCUAAUAGUCCAUUGACUUGGACAAUACUUUUAUGAUCUGAUCUCAAAUCAGGUAGGACUACCCGCUGAACUUAAGC
rnacentral:misc_RNA from 1 species